GUGUCAGCAGCCGCGGUAAUACGGAGGGUGCAAGCGUUAUCCGGAUUCACUGGGUUUAAAGGGAGCGUAGGUGGGUCUGUAAGUCAGUGGUGAAAUCUCCGGGCUUAACCUGGAAACUGCCAUUGAUACUAUAGGUCUUGAAUAUUGUGGAGGUUAGCGGAAUAUGUCAUGUAGCGGUGAAAUGCUUAGAUAUGACAUAGAACACCAAUUGCGAAGGCAGCUGGCUACGCAUAUAUUGACACUGAGGCUCGAAAGCGUGGGGAUCAAACAGGAUUAGAUACCCGAGUAGUCC
rnacentral:rRNA from 1 species